ensembl:lncRNA
UUCUUUUUUUAAUUGUUAUUUCCCCAACACAAUUUUUUUUCCCACUGUACAGCAUGGGGACCCAGUUACACAUACAUGUAUACAUACUUUUUUCUCCCAUUGUCAUGCUCCAUCGUAAGUAACUAGACAUAGUUCUUGGUGCUACACAGCAGGAUCUUAUUGUUAAUCCAUUCCAAAAGCAAUAGAUUGCAUCCGUUAACCCCAAGCUCCCAAUCUAUCCCACUCCCUCCCCCUCCCUUUGGGCAACGACAAGUCUAUUCUCCAAGUCCAUGAUUUUCUUUUCUGUGGAAAGGUUCUUUUGUGCUGUAUAUUAGAUACCAGAUAUGAGUGAUAUCAUAUGGUAUUUGUCAUUCUCUUUCUGACUUACUUCACUCAGUAUGAGAGUCUCUAGUUCCAUCCACGUUGCUAUGUCUGUCUUUGAAGCUAAAUUGGAAUCUCUUGAAAAUCCAUGUCUUAGAUUGUAGGGUUUAAUCCAUUUAUAUUUAAAGUAAUUACUAAGAAAGAGGGCAAAUUCAUUAAUCUUUCGGCAGAUUGAGUCAAAUCACACACAUGAAAAAUAUACUUUAAGUAAUGAAAAUAAUUAAAGGAUGUUAGUAUUAGUUUCCUAUUGCUGAUGUGAUAAAGGGCCACAGACUGGUUGGCUGAAAACAACAGAAAUUUAUUCUCUUACAGUUCUGGAGGGCAGAAAUCUAAAAUCAAUAUAACCAAGCUAAAAUCAAGGUAUUGGUGGAAAACUGUGCUUUCUCCAGAGGCUCUCAGGAGCAUCCAAUCCCUUUUUUGCCUCUUUCAGCAUCUGGUGGUUGCCAGCAUUCCCUGGCAUGGGCUGUAUCCCAAUCUCUGCCUCUGCAGUCACAUUGCCUUAUUCUCUUCUGUAUGAAAUAUCCCUCUGCAUCUCUCUUUAAAAGACAUUUAUGAUUGCUACUACAACUCUCUACUAAUCCAGGAUAAUCUCCCCAUUUCAAUUUCCUUAAUUUAAUCAAAUACCAAAAUAACCUGUUGGGGGUCAUUUAAGAUAAAAUUCACAGGUUCCAGGAAUUAAGACAUGGAUAACUCCUGGUGCGGGGGGCAACUUUUAGCCUGCCACAAUAGUUGUUGCUAUAUAUUUUUUAUAGGGAAAAUGAUAAUCAUCCUAGAUGGUCAACAACAUGAAUUGGUACAAUCAUGUCACAGUCAUAGGACAGAAUGAUAUGUCAGCAUUAAAACGAAUUACACUGUUAAUAAUGAAAAUUUUUUCUAUCAAACUACACAAAUAUUUAAAAUAUGUAUUUGCAAAGGUGUGGGGAACUAGACACUAUAAUACAUUUGGCAGGAAUACAUAUUACAAUGUUUAGAAGAUUUAUUUGAAAUAAUAAAAUAUACAACGUUCAGGCUUUUGGGUAAAAGUUUUAGGUCUAGGACAUCCCUUCUCAAGUGCAAAUUGUAUGGGGAAGGUUGAUUACUGCAGCGAGUUUGUGGUAAUAAAAAUGUGAAAGAGGCACAAUGUCCGUAACUCAGGAACAAAUGAAAAACUAGGCAGUCUUUAAACAGAAAAAAAUUAGAUUUAUAACUGAACUGGAAAGACAGGGAUGAUAUAUUAAAAGUGUAGAAAGGUAGACUAGAUAUAAAUCAAGGUCACAAUAUUUUCUACAGGGAGGUAGAAGAAAAGACACAGGGGAUGCAUGCAUCUGCAUUGUUGCAAUUAAUUUACAACAAACAUUUUUCACUUUUGUAGCCAGAAAAAAGUGAUGGAGUUAAAAACCUGAAAAUAUGGGGGAUACUGUGAUGUAUCUUGACAAUCACCCUGGUUAUUGUCCUCCUGAAGACAGUUUCUCUAUCUACAAAAUGGAAAAUCUUAUAACAUUUUCCUGAAGAUGUAAUGACAUAAUGUGUUUGUUAGAACCAAAUUGAAGCCAAUUUGACCUGAAGUUAUUGAUGAAGUUGUGAUAAAACGUUUAUUGUUGUUUACUUGUAAACAUUUUAUCAUCUCCACGUUGACUUAUUUAAUCCAUAGAUUAUUGCGAAGUGUGCCUAAAUUUCAAAACAUUUUUUGUUGUUUCUUGUUGUCAUUUUGCUAUUGAUUUCUAACUUCUUUGUGUUGUGGUAAAAAAAUGUAAUCUGUAGUAGAACUGUGAAAUGUGUUGAGAUUUGUUUUAUAAAACUUUGUGUGGUCAGUUUCAGUAAAUGUAGCAUUUUUAUCACAUUCUAUUUUUCAGAAUUUUUUUUUGUCCUUUUUUAGGGCCUCACCUGCAGCACAUGGAAGUUCCCAGGCUAGGUAGGGGUCCAAUUGGAGCUGUUAACUGCUGGCCUACACUACAGCCAGGCAACGCGGGAUCUGAGCUGCAUCUGUGACCUACACCACAGCUCAUGGCAACGCCAGAUCCUCUAAUCCACUGAGCGAGGCCAGGGAUCAAGCACACAUCUUCAUGGAUCCUAUUUGGGUUCUUUACCACUGAGCCAUGAUGGGAGCUCCUAUUUUUCAGAAUUUAAUAAAGCUAUACCAGGAAAUUUUGAUUAGCUAGCAUAUGUAAUUUUUUAUACACUUACUUUUAAUCAUUCUAUAUCUUAGUUAUAGAUAUGUUUCUUGCAAACAGGGUAUGUUUAGAUUCUUUCUGUGUCAAAGCUGAAAAAUCUUUGUCCUUCGAGUGUUAAUCUUGCUACACUUUUUGUAGCAAAUGGCAUAUUUAAAUGUAUCAUCCAUUUUAUGCUGUGCUUUCUACCUUCCUAACCUCAUCUACUUCUCUCUUUAUGCAUGAAUUGACUUGAGUAUUCUUCCUCAUUCCAUGUUGUAAGAAUCUGCUACUUCAAAAGUUAAAUAUUCUAUUAUUUUAAUGGUUGCUCUAUACAUUUUUAUUUUAAAAAUUAAGUGAAGUCUUAAAGCUCCUCACAAACUCAAAAUACUUUAAACUCUAAUCACUCCUUCCAAGUUACAAUUUUGUAUUGUCAUUUAUUUGAUUCUUUGCUAUGUUCCCAUCUUGCAAGAUAUUCUUUUUUAAGGCAAUGUUUCUUUAGAUUUACACGUUUACCACUUUUGUUGCUUUUCAUUUCUUGUUGCAUCUCAAAUAAUCAUCAUCUCUGCCCAACAUACAAUUUUAAAAUUUCUUUUUAUGAAUUUACUUUUUAAAAUCUAUCUAACAUGCCUUCAUUUCAACCUCAUUUUUAACUUUAUUUUAAUUAAUUAAUUAAUUUUUGCUUUUUAGGGCCAUACUUGUGGCAUAUCAAGAUUCCCAGGCUAAUCGGAGCUACAGCUUCCAGCCUACCCCACAGCCACAGCAACACAGGAUCCAAGCCACAUCUGCGGCCUGCACCACAGUUCAUGGCAAUGCCAGAUCCUUAACCCACUGAGCAAGGCCAGGGAUCAAACCUGCAUCCUCAUGGAUGCUAGUCAGAUUCGUUAACCACUGAGCCAUGAUGGGAACUCCCUUUUCAUUAAUUUUAAAUGAACAUUUAGAACAUACAUAAAAAUAGAAAAAGAAAAUAAACACCUAUAUACCAACCCUAGUUCAAUAAAUACAUAUUUAUCUUCCUUUACAUAUUUUUGUCUAAACCUUUCAAAGUAAAUUAUACCAUGUCAGCCUAAAUAAUUUACCAUGCAUCUUCAAAGUAUUAGAACAUUCUCUUACACAACCAAAAUACCAUCAUUUAUAAGAUUAACUAUAAUUCCCUCUCUGAUCCACUCCAUAUUUAAGUUUUCCCAGUUCCAAAAUGUGGUUUAUAGCAGUUUUCAAACUAGUUUUCAAUCAAGGAUCACCACAUUGUAUUAGUUUUUGUUACAUUUCUUAAAUGUCAUUAAUCUGUGACAGUUUAUCCUCCUGAACUUUUUUCAUGACACUGAUUUCUGAAGAGACUGGGCUGAUUGUUUUGAGCAAUGUCCUACAUUCAGAAUUUGUCUCAUUGAAUAUUUAUGAUAUUGUUACACUCAUUAUUUUAUGCCCUAUAUUUCUUGUUACCUAUGAGUUAGCUCCAAUGUCUAACAUCCUGUAACUUUUUUUCCUCUCAUUCUCGGGGUGGGGGGUAGUACUCUAGAUUGAAAGCU